AACGAACGCUUGCGGCGUGGAUAAGACAUGCAAGUCGAACGAGAGAAUUGCUAGCUUGCUAAUAAUUCUCUAGUGGCGCACGGGUGAGUAACACGUGAGUAACCUGCCCCCGAGAGCGGGAUAGCCCUGGGAAACUGGGAUUAAUACCGCAUAGUAUCGAAAGAUUAAAGCAGCAAUGCGCUUGGGGAUGGGCUCGCGGCCUAUUAGUUAGUUGGUGAGGUAACGGCUCACCAAGGCGAUGACGGGUAGCCGGUCUGAGAGGAUGUCCGGCCACACUGGAACUGAGACACGGUCCAGACACCUACGGGUGGCAGCAGUCGAGAAUCAUUCACAAUGGGGGAAACCCUGAUGGUGCGACGCCGCGUGGGGGAAUGAAGGUCUUCGGAUUGUAAACCCCUGUCAUGUGGGAGCAAAUUAAAAAGAUAGUACCACAAGAGGAAGAGACGGCUAACUCUGUGCCAGCAGCCGCGGUAAUACAGAGGUCUCAAGCGUUGUUCGGAAUCACUGGGCGUAAAGCGUGCGUAGGCUGUUUCGUAAGUUGUGUGUGAAAGGCGCGGGCUCAACCCGCGGACGGCACAUGAUACUGCGAGACUAGAGUAAUGGAGGGGGAACCGGAAUUCUCGGUGUAGCAGUGAAAUGCGUAGAUAUCGAGAGGAACACUCGUGGCGAAGGCGGGUUCCUGGACAUUAACUGACGCUGAGGCACGAAGGCCAGGGGAGCGAAAGGGAUUAGAUACCCCUGUAGUCCUGGCAGUAAACGG
rnacentral:rRNA from 1 species